GAUGAACGCUGGCGGCGUGCUUAACACAUGCAAGUCGAACGAGAGAAGAUCGUUGCUUGCACUGAUCCGAUCGAGUGGCGGACGGGUGAGUAACGCGUGGGUAACCUGCCUCAUACAGGGGAAUAACAGUUGGAAACGGCUGCUAAAACCGCAUAAGCGCACAGUAUCGCAUGAUACAGUGUGAAAAACGCCGGUGGUAUGAGAUGGACCCGCGUCUGAUUAGCUAGUUGGUGAGGUAACGGCCCACCAAGGCAACGAUCAGUAGCCGGACUGAGAGGGUGAACGGCCACAUUGGGACUGAGACACGGCCCAAACUCCUACGGGAGGCAGCAGUGGGGAAUAUUGCACAAUGGGGGAAACCCUGAUGCAGCGACGCCGCGUGAGUGAUGAAGUAUUUCGGUAUGUAAAGCUCUAUCAGCAGGGAAGAUAAUGACGGUACCUGACUAAGAAGCACCGGCUAAAUACGUGCCAGCAGCCGCGGUAA
rnacentral:rRNA from 1 species